GCUGUGGUGGAAGAGUAGAGGGUGGAAUGUCAGUUAAGGAAGGCCCAGUUGGGAAUCAGAAGCUUGAUGUCAGUGUUCAGAUGAGACUAUUCUCAUCAUUGUUCUCCAAGAUAUGACCCGUCACUUCAUACCAGGCCUAUUACAACCAUUUCCUAAAAAGUCCCUCAGCUUUCAGUCUUUCUCUUUUCUAGGAAUAUAUCUCACACAAGCAGUCAGAUUAAUCCUCCCCAAAAGACCAGCUUCCAUCAUUUGAUUCUGUAGCUCAAGAACCUUCUUCAAUGACUUUUCAUUGUCUUCAGAAUAAAGUAAAAAGUCCUCAGCCUGGAAUUUAAAACCCCUCCACGAUCUGGGCCCAACUUACUUUUUUCAGCUUUAUUUUCUACUCAUUCCCCAAACUAACUUUCCACUUCAGACAUAGCAUUCAACUGAACUGUGCCCUAAACAAGGUAGAGAUAUUUCUUUUUUUUUUUUUUAAUCUUGACAGAAAGGGAAGGGCUAGGUAAAUGGGGUUAAGUGUCUUGCCCAGGGUCAAACAGCUAGGAAGUAUUUGAGACCAGUUCAAAACCCAGGACCUCCUAUCUCCAACCUUGGUUUUCUAUCCACUGAGCUACCUAGAUACCCUUAGUAGGGGUAUUCUUGACAGCACAUCAACAAACUUUGUUCCCCCUUCCUGGAUUGCCACCUUAUACUCCUCACUUGUUUAAGUCAUAUCUACCUUUCUUAAUCCAACUCUCCUACCCUGAUCAAGGCAGUCAACAAAGAAGUCUUUAUAGCAUUUAACCACUUAGACAUUCAUCAUAACUACAACCUCAUGUUGUUCUCUUGUUUUGACACCCAUCAUUUAAAAUUAUAAGCACCCCCAGGACAAGGGUAAAGCAUUAAGAAUGUUAUUCUCUCCCUUGAAACUCCACUCCCUUCAGGGGUGACCUCCAGGAAACAUUUAUUGAACCAUUCAGGUUCUGAAGAGAAUAAUUUACACAAUAACAAGAUGGUAAAGACAAACAAUUUUGAAAGCCUUAAAAACUCUGCAAUGACCCAUGAUGAAGCCUGUUAUCUGACUCCUGACAGAGAGAUGAUGGGUUCAAGGUGCAGAAUGACAAUAUGGCCAACAUGAGAAUUUGUUCUGCUUGACUAUGCAUAGUUACAAGGACUUAGUUUUUCUUUGUUAUCCCACCGCAAUGAAGGGAGGUGGGAGAGAAAAUAGAUUUUUGUUAAUUGAAAAAAAUUUUUUAAUUGACAAUUAAUGCUAGGGUUCUGGAAAGGUCCGACGCACCUGGGUCUUUCUCAUCCUUAUGUUGACAGAAUUACAGUUUUCAUCUGCUUCCUCCUUCUGGGGAUCAAUGGCUGUUAAAGGACAAAGGAGGGACAGGGCAAUGGGCUUAGGGGACCUGCCUCUAGCCUCAGGUUUCUUCCCAGAACCCUGGCAGCACGCCAAUCAGCACUCACUCUUCAGCUGGGUCCGGAUCUCCUUCCCCAACUGCUUUAUCUCUUCUCUCAGGUUCUGGAGGUCUUGCUUCAUGCCUAAAUUGGAGGCAAGGGUGGGAAUCGGAGAAAAGCAUGAUUCCAAGAUAGCUCCAAUAACAGGGAUCCUGGAGGUUUCGCGAAUUCCCUCCCACCUGGAAAGACGACCCACUCUGUGCAGCCCCUCCCCCCACCAGCGAGGAAUCCACGCAUGCGCAUAGAGGAAGUUCUCUCCUCGCCCUCUGGAAAGACGGAAACGGGAAGCUGCAGCUGCAACCUGAACGGAAGUGAGACUGCCAGGACUCUAGGAUGCUUCGUCCUUACCGGAAGCUGGGCGGAAGGAGCUCAUCACCGGACGUGAAGUUACCAGAUGAGGGGGAGGAAGGGGAGAAACACACGUCAUCCAAGCGUCAGCCGCCCGUCUUCGACCUGCUCACAUCACCCCAUGGUCUCCACCCUCGCCACCUUAAGUGACCUACUCUGAUUCUCCCCCUCCCCCCAACACCUUAUUUUUCUAAAACCCCAGGUCACAAGAUUUGCACGAACCGCCUUGACCUCCCUCGUAAAUCAUUCUUGUUAGCCAGGUCCUAGGAAUCUUAGCUAGAUUUAAGAUGACAUGAUCUUUCUGGAAAAUAGUUAAACUCCGCCCCCCCCUUCCACUAAUAGAUUAGCCCGAAGUUCCCGGAGGCCAGCACUCUAAAUUUGGAAAUCAGCAACAUGUGACCUUCGUUUCCCACCCCUUUACUCUCCCUCCUCCCUUCCUCCCCGCCCCCUAGCUUUUCCCGGAGUUUGCCUUUUUCUCUCGGAGGACCGGGUUAAGGUGUCAUUCCCUUUAGUACGUACCCGACCCAGGGUCCUAAAUAUCUUAAAAUCAAAUCUCCACAAUUUAGGGCAACCUCAAGGACGAGCUAUCAUGACCUUGCUAAAUCACCCCCGUGGCGAAAAUAUUUUGGAAACCAUUUUUUUUGCUGUACAGAAACUAGCAGAGGCUAUUCUACUUUAGAAUGCCUGAUCCAGAGGCAUAAAUAGCAAAGAUACUCUGCAUCUAUUUUUUGUUGAUUAAAAAGUGUUAUUCGACUUGUAUAUAAUAAAACGAAACCUUGAAAACUUUC